rnacentral:rRNA from 1 species
GACGAACCGUCCAAACGUUAUUCGGAAUCACUGGGUUUAAAGGGCGCGUAGGUGGCCUGGUCAGCGUGCGGUGAAAGCUCGGGGCUCAACCCCGAGUCGGCCGUGCGAACUGCUGGGCUUGAGCACUGUAGAGGCAGGCGGAAUUCCGGGUGUAGCGGUGGAAUGCGUAGAGAUCCGGAAGAACACCGGUGGCGAAGGCGGCCUGCUGGGCAGUAGCUGACACUGAGGCGCGACAGCGUGGGGAGCAAACAGG